UUCAUCACCUUCAUUUAAUGACACAGAUAUGAAACAAGGAGGCAUUAUACCUCCUCCCCAGACUGCAGCUUGAGAGCCGUGUCCAUCCUGCAAAACAAUGGGAAACAUCAAGCCUAAUGCUAAGAAAUCCUUGCUUUGCACCUCAGUCUUCCUUUGGGACAAUUACUUUGAUUUUCAGCAAUUUGUUUGGUUUUGCAUGCAUGCACAAACAUUGUGGUCCCAAAUCCGAGUGGGGAUGAGUUACAAUGAUUCCUCUGCUCCAUAAACCCCACUGCCCAAUACCUGGGGAAGUGGUCAUUAUUCUACCCUUCUCCCACUUGCAGAGGAGUCUGACUAGCUGGCUCCUGCCUAAAAAGGUUCAGAUCUUUCUUCUCAGUGAGAGCAAAUGCUCUCUUUAUCUUUUCCUCUGACGGCCAGACUGUGACAGAGAAUGGAAAAUUAUUGUCCUGCUUUUCAGGAUGAUCCUGUUCCAGGCCAGCCAGAAGGCAAUGCCAACUACCAACCCUUGUGUGGCAUUGUUUUCAGGUGGGAAUGUUUGCUCCCAGUGAACUUUCCCACAACUUAACUAGAACCUUGUCCUCCUUGACAGCAGCCCUAGGUACCACAGAAGUGAAUUGGGAGAGCCAGGCCCGGUAAUAAACCUGGCUGCCUUGUUGGAUUCUGUCUGCCCCAGGGAGUAUGUUCCUAUGAGCUCAAUUUUUACCUAGCACAGCAAAAUAAAUGAAAACAAGGCAAAGAAUAAUGCUCCACUUCUCUGAGAACACAGGGCCUCAAGGAUGUAGCAUGAAUUCAGCAUCUGUCUGUUUGCUGGGGAAUUCAUACCUAGGAUGGAAAAGAACUCUCCAGGGUAACAGCAACACAGUGGAAAACAUACAGCAUCUGCCUGUGUAUUUGAGCAGGGAGUUUGGCUCCUUCCAUUCAUGUCACAGCAAGACAGAGCAUCUCUCAGACAGGAUCAUUGCCCUGCUCUUUCAAAGCACCACUGUCUAAAACCUAAACAACCCGCUGUGUGGAGUAUGAAAAAGGUCGUAUCAAAAGAACAUCUGCACGUUAGUGUAGUGAUUAGCUUGUAGAGUAGCACCCAAUGGUGAAAGAGCUUUUAUCUUCCUUUCCACGCACAAAAAUGAUGUGUGACAUGAAGGGAUGCUUACACUGAAGUCAGACCUGAUGUCUGUUGUGACUUUUCAAGCAUUUCAUCAAAAGUAUUUCCAUGCAGGUCUGAAAGAAGCUGCUGCCAUAUGGAUAGCUGGAGCAGCCAAGAGUUAUAUUCACCAGCAAUGCACCGUUCAAAGCAAUUAGAAGCUGCCAGUCCUCAUGGUCCCAGACCAAAGCUAACCUUUGUAGCAGCACUAUUAGGUUUUCUUGCUUCUUUUUCCAAGUCAGAUGGUGUUGGCACUCUCUUGUGAAGAACACUGGGUCAUAUGGUCUGAGGGGUUACUCCUGAUGGCAAUUCUUGUGCUAACUCAGAUGCAGCUGUAUCCACAAUUACAUUCAGUUUAGGGGACAGAAUAAUCUUCUGCAUUUUUUCACUGUGUGCAGUGCCCAUCUCAUGGGUCUUACCUGAGUACUGGAGCAGGGAUGGAAGAAAGGAAAAGCUUUUGCUCUUUCUUUGGGCAAAUGAUUGAGCUUUUCCACAGAGAACGCUACAAAAUAAAAAUUAUUCCAACUCUUUCAUAGUGGCUACUGACUAAAUACACAAGUGCUUAAAGAAGCACCAGGCUAUCUGUUUAGCCUACCUUGCAGCAUAUCCUUCUAUCCACAGCAUACUCCAGAAUGUGGCUGGGGAGUGAGAUGGGUCAGAGACACUGGAAAGAUGAAAGCUAUUGGAUUAGCAUUUUUGUCCUAGGGCUGUAAUAGAAAUCUUUAGUAAGCAAAGCCCAGGCGUGAAAAUCACAUUGUAGCUUGAAGAUGAAGUCCAAUUUUGUGCUGAAAUUCACUCCCUUUAGCAGUCUCAAGGCCAAAGUAUGCACAGAGACUCUGUAAGUCCUAUUUUCAGGGUGUUAGCAGCACAGAGAUCCCUCUGCUGGUUCCUCUGUAUGCGAAUGAAUUGGAUCCAGAGCACAAGCUCAUGUCAGAGCACUGCUGUAGGCAUGUUUGAAGACAAUUUUACCAGUUCCAAAAUCAAAGAUUAAAAGAAAAUCUGACCAGAGGAGUGCUGACACAUUCUGAAAAUUUAGAGGUGAAAGGGAUUUGGGAUCUUUUAAUAAACUGUUCUAAAAGUAAAACUGCAAAAUACCACUCUUCUGUGUGGAAACCUCAAGGCAUGUUCCCAACUUUGAAUCUAACUUGCAGACUGUAUUCCUCUUCUGUUUCCUUUUACAAGACAUAGUGAUAUUCUGCCUCGUGAAGAGGGUCCAUGCAAACUCCUCUGAGCUGUAAACAUCUGAUUCUGCUGAUGGGACUCUUAAGACAAAUUUAUGCUACAGAACUUUUCUUCAAACAGAUAGCAGGUGUAACAUGUGGCUGUGAUAGUUGUCGUCCAAGCUUUUCAGCUGUGGCUUUGGUUCUAGGAUCAUCAUCUCCUGUAGGAUUACCCACCCAAGUGGUCUUAGUUCUCUAGUCACCACACAAUCUGCUCAAGGACAGUCUUCAUACAGAAUAAGGAAUGGAGUAAGGAACCACAGGCAGCACUCUGAGACCAGGCAGCCUCGGACAAUAAUGCCCCCUACUGAUAUUUGAACAAUUCCAGGGGAAAGAGAUGUCUCAGAGCUGGCAAUGGCAGCAAGGCUGAUAAAAGCAGCAAGAACACUUGUGAGGAGGAGUGCAGACGGGCAGCUUAAGGCUCCAGACAAUUAAAUACAUAGCACAGAGGAAAGAAACUGCUCAGAAAAAAAAUAUUUUGAAAAAGGCUGUUUUGAAGAUGUUGUGUUUUAGGGUGAAGGAGCCUCAGUAGCUAAAAGUCAAAAUUUGGCAUUUUAGCUGCCACAGAAGCCCUUGAACUCUCUCAUCCAGGCCAAGGGAACUGUGGGCUUGGGCUGCUUGGGAGCUGCAGGAGCACCAUGAGCACAGCUCACACCGAGACAUUUGCAGACCCACAUCAAGGUCAAUACUGGAUACAGACCAUGGUCACCUCAUUUGGGGAGAAAUGAGACGAGAUGGCAGUGACAUGACUGAAGGUGUAAGCAUGUAUGGGAGCCAAAGAGUAGGAGGGAAGAGAGAUGAGAACAGCGAACAGAUCAAACAAGCAACCUUCGGAGGAGACAUCAGCCCCACCAUGAUCCUCGGCGUGAUGUGAGCGUCUUUGAGGGUUCCUGUAGGUAGUUUUAUUUGUCUAAAAUAGGAUGGACCCUAAGCAAAUAUUUAUGUGUCUCUCCAGUGGCUUUCAAAAUAUUGGAAGUUCUUUGCUCAUGUGGACUGAAAGUCUUCAAAGGAGCACAAGUCCUCUUGAUUUGCAAGAUGAUAUGAGCACCUAUAUCACAUGUCUGCUUUUGGAAAUACUUCUUGCAGUACAGCCAAGGCAGACUGAUGGAUAUUGUCCAGCUGUCCCAGCAGGCAGAAGUUGUGCAACUCCUCCAGGGCAAAGGAUAUUUGGACAAUGAAAGGGAAAUGAGGAUAUUCCUGCCUCACCCAGCCUUGAUUGCCUUAGGAAGGAUGCAAAUGUCUGUACAGCUUUACCUGGAGGUCAAACAGGACCUGAUCAGGCCAGGGUCUGCACAGGGAAGCUCAGCUGAGUGGUCAGGUCUCGCAGGCUGAGUAUGAGGGUCCUGGGGCCACUCGGUGCUCCUCUGCCAUAGGCUGGGGCCAGGCAGUGGGGUUGCUCCCCAGCCCUGGUACCCCUCAUGUCACACAGGCAGACAGCCCAGCGUGGGCACAGCUGACUGUCUGUGGAGCUGGUGGCCAGUCACCCUGGGGGGAGAGGCUGCUGUGCCCCCCUUCUGGCUCCUUGGGCCCUUGUCCCCUUCCAUCCCCUGCACAUUGCCAGUUACUGUCUUUCUGCUGUAAUCUCUGCCAGAUCUCACUCCAUGUCUGGUCACCCCUUGUGUCCCAAGCUGUGUCACUGGCUGCCAUUGCUGUCCCUUUGAUCACUGCCCACCCCAAGAGGACCUUGAGCAAUCGUGUGCUCAGAGAGCAAUCGUGUGCUCAGAGCAGCUUAACAUUUUGGCUGUAGCUGCCAACAGUUUGCCUACUUUGUAAGGGGUCUUCGGGUGAAAUCCUUGCAGGUCUGCUGCUUUCACCUGUGGACUGCAGUAUUUGUACAGAGGGGUUCAUGACAGGCUCUAUGGGUCUGGUUUUGUGGGCUUUUAGGUGCUGUGCUUCAUUCGUGCCUUCACCUCUCCUGCCUGCCUUUCUGAAUGUCUGGGAUGUGGAGUGAAAAGUUGUUGAAGUUCAUGUUAGCCACACUCUUCAUGUGCCUUAACUACUCCAGCUCAAGACUAACUUAGGACAGCUUAAAUUUGAACCUGCUUAUAUUUGCACCCUGAAGGAGAGCAGAUUACCCACUUUUAUCCCAUGAGCUGUGAAGGAAUGGAGAGAUCAGAGGCACCAAGAGUUCAACCAAGUAUAAAACUGUCCAUGGCACUACUACCUUGCUGCUGUCUGUCAGAUGCAUGAGGACCGAGCUGUGCAGAGACCAAACCCAGCAACUCUGUUUAUCUUCUGUGCAUAUCCAGAAUACCACUGGUUAUCUUAACCUUAACCUACCAAAUUUUAAACUUUGGGUGGAGAGAAACCUUCUAAAGGUGGCAAAUGCUUACAGUUUUGUUGGCAACAUCCUUUAAUGACCUGCAGCAUUCCAGAUGUAGGUCAUGUUUACUACAUCAAAUGCUAGCAAACAGCAACAAUACAAUUUUGCAGAAUAAAACACAAAUUUAGCAGCAAAAAUGCUGCCUUUUGAGCUUCUGUUCUAGAUUAAGCAUCUUUUAAGCUCCAAACAGACGAAAACAUUAGGCUUUCCUUUUUCACACUGCACCUGAAGAUGACUGAAGCAUUUAUUGGGUGCUCGUAACAUACUGUGUGAUUGUAGUAGCAAGCAAAGCAAACUGGGCCACAGAAGAGCUGUAAUGUCAGAGGAAAGCAAAACAGCACCAUUGAGCAGAUGGUUUCAUGCCUGGAAGAAGAAGCCUCAAAAUUCACACUUGGAGAACAUGGAGGCUGUGCACAGUCCAGUCCAGUGCCAGGGCUAAGAGUAGGGCACAAACCUUUAGCAAAUCACCAUUUCGUAUAUGAGCUGCCUCCACACUGAGGUGGGGAAAGCCUUGAAGGUUCCUGCCCUGGCCAGCCUGGGCAUGUGGCUGUAUGUUUCAUCCUGCCUGGCAUCCAAGUGGUGGGUGCCAGCAGGAAAAUGCAUAAGGGCAUUGAGGCAGCUUCCUGAGAACGUGGCACUGCUUCACCCUGCAGCCAACAACAGCGAUCACCUUCAGUGCGACAAAGCCAACUUUGCUUCUGCAGACUUGUCCCUCGUGUGCUCCAGGGUGCAGGACUUUGCCUCUGCAACCUGCUGGAACGGGUGUGCCAGCAUAACUGGGAGCUACAGGAUGGCUUAGGGCAGUGGAAAUGAUGGGAAAGAAGAAGGAGAAAUCUUCUGAAGGGAAACAUCUGUUCUCUUUACCAUUAGCUACAAGUGGUACCUUUUUAAUUAUUGAGAUGCUGGCGCAGGCAGAGGUUGUGAAUUGACUUGGUAAUUAUUUAGAAGAGCCCCAAUUGCUGGCAAGGAUUCCCAUGUAGUCAUUUUCUAACUGGAUAGAGGGAGAAAUAAACUCUUCAAGUAUUUAUUAUUAUUACGGCCUGUCAAUUAUGAAGAUUUAUUCAUUCCUGCUGAGCUACCUUGAGACUUGGCUUUAUCACUUCACUGCUGCUGCCACAACACUAUUAUAUAUGUGAAAAUGUGAAGGUGAGGCAUGCUUUUUGAAGUUAGACACAAUUCAUCUUCCUGAGUUUUGACAGCUCCCCACCAUGUACAAGAUAACACUGUCUAACACACCGACCACAGCAUUACAGCCUGCUUUUCUCAGGUUUGCUUCAGCACAGCUUCUUAGCUCACACACUGUAACAUCUUCAAGCAAGCUGAAAGUGUGAAAGUGCAGUGAGACCCAGUCUCAGUGUUUUCCACAGCUACCUAGACUGCUGUAUAAAACACUCUGGUCCAUUGGGCUCAUGUGCUGCUGAGGUCAUAUUUAAGCCCAUGGAAAUUGGGAUUUCAGUUGGUAAAUUCCUCACCUUUCAAGUCAGUCAGGUCCUGAAUUUAGGGCAGGUUGACCAAGAUCUUUAGGAAAUGUGGGGAUAUUUGUGAACAGGUCAUUUAAGCCUGUUCCUGGAUGCAAUAGAGGCUCAGCACAAAGCUAUUGUUUUCUGGUCCAAGAAGGAAGUGGCUUAUGAUGUCAUUUCCCUUGGGAUCUGUGUCCUUAUGUCCUUUCCAUUCCCUUUCCUUUUCUAUCCCUUUC